UGGGGAAUUUUGGACAAUGGGCGAAAGCCUGAUCCAGCCAUGCCGCGUGUCUGAGGAAGGCCUUCGAGUUGUAAAGGACUUUUGUCGGGGAGGAAAUCCCCAGCGUUAAUACCGCUGGGGGAUGACAGUACCUGAAGAAUAAGCACCGGCUAACUACGUGCCAGCAGCCGCGGUAAUACGUAGGGUGCAAGCGUUAAUCGGAAUUACUGGGCGUAAAGCGUGCGCAGGCGGUUUGAUAAGCCAGAUGUGAAAUCCCCGAGCUCAACUUGGGAACUGCGUUUGGAACUGUCAGACUAGAGUGCGUCAGAGGGGGGUGGAAUUCCGCGUGUAGCAGUGAAAUGCGUAGAGAUGCGGAGGAACACCGAUGGCGAAGGCAGCCCCCUGGGAUGACACUGACGCUCAUGCACGAAAGCGUGGGGAGCAAACAGG
rnacentral:rRNA from 1 species